UCCAGUUUGAACUGUUGGCGGUUAAUUCAAAAUGCAGCAAUGUUUCACCGUGCAGUUUUACAUUUUCUUUGUACGUUUGGAGUCUUUCAGAGAGGAGAGGUUCAACCAGAGCAGUUAUAAAACUAGCGGGGACAGGUCUGGAAGUCAGGGAGGUCUAACAGCUCUGGUAGAAACACAGGAGACUGUAAUGGCAGCAGAAGGAGGAGAGGCUCGUCUCAGCUGUCUGCUGACGCAACCUAAAGAUGUUCUUCAGGUCACAUGGCAGAAACUGUUACCUGAGGGGGAGAAGACUGUUGGCACCUACAACAAACACUUUGGUCAGAAAGUGAGUUCUGACUUUAGAGAUAAAGUGAAGUUUGAAGCGGCUGGACUGCAGAACAGCUCCAUAGUUAUCAGGAAGGUGACGGAGCAGGAUGAAGGAUGCUAUCACUGUUUGUUUAACUCCUACCCUGAAGGUGCUCACACAGGUACAACCUGCCUCAAUCUCUACGAGCUGCAUGAACCCGUCCUACAUGUUGGAGAAUCAAACUCUGCUGAAGAGGCACUUGUGUCCUGCUCGGCCACAGGUCGACCUGCUCCCACAGUAACACUAAGUGUCCUGCCACACAACGGCCACUUUGCUAACCACAGCUCUGUGGGAGUCACCAACACCAACGGUACAGUCACUGUCACCACUACAGCUGUGCUGUCUCGUCUCCAUGACAACAUCACACAGGUUGGAUGUGCAGUGCGAGUGCUCUCUGCUCCUCAGAUAGAGGUGUUGGUGAUGAUUCCUGAGGUCAAACAGUCGUCUGCUGCUGGUUCUGAUGAGGAACCUGUAUCUGAUGACCAUGGACGCAGUAGGACUUCAUUAUGCAUCAUUGCAUCAUUCAUGGUAUGGGUCUGUUGUGCUGCAGUCAUCACCGUCCUGAUUAAACAAAGAAAAUCAAUGCAGUGUGACACACAGGGAGUCUGAGAUGAAUGAGAUGCAUCAAACUACAAACAGAGAUACUCAUGAGGCCGAACAAUUUUCUGUUACAUAGGAGAACCAUCAGAUCAGACAACGGCCAUCACCUGUAAAGAGUGAAGAAAGUGAUAACUCAAAUCCGUAACCUUCAACACCAAGGAGACUGGAAAUGUGGUUGGAUGUACUUAGUUUUAUGUGUAACAGUGAGUAGGAGAUGCACAACUACCAUUAAGUUUGUAUUACUGUUAACUAGGGCUGCACCAUUAAUCUAAUGGCAUUUACAAUCGUGACGUCACACUGUGCGAUUACUUAACCAUAGAAGGGUGCUAUUUAAUUAAACAAAAGUGUGCAGUAUGUAAGACACUCUGUGUGCACUGCAGUCUGCUCAUUAUCCAUGAUCAUUUCACUCGCAUAUAACACCAAAACAGAUAUGUGCAUGUAUAAAGACUACAACCGACCGUUCCUCUUUCCUCUCUAUUCAGCGGUGCGCUGAUGUAACAACUCAACCGGAAAGUGAAACUUCCACCUUGUAUCGUUUCCUAGCUAUCUUUCUUCAUAAUGUUCAGUUCACCAAAAACAGAAACAUAUUUAGUCGAAUAAAAGGCAGUUUUCCAGUCAUACAGUCAGGUUCAUACAUAUUUGGACAAUGACAGAUGUUUUAUUUAGACUUUUUUUCCAAAAACAUAUUCAAGUUACAGUUAAAUAGUUGCCUCUUCUUUUUCAAAGUACCAAAAGUAAUUGGACAAUUAACUCAAACUGUUUUAUGAACAGUUGUGGCUUAUUCCUUCGUUAUUUUUUCAUCAAUUAAGCAGGUAAAAGGAGUGAAGUUUAUUUCAGGUGUGGCAUUCGCAUAUGGAAGCGCUUGCUGUGAACCUGCGGUCAAAGGAGCUGAAAGGAGUGAAACAAGCCAUCUUUAGGCUGCACAAAAAAGGAAAAAAUCCAUCAGCAAGAUAGCAGUAAUUAAGUAAGUAGGUAUUAGCAAAAUCAACGUUUUUGUACAUUCUGAGAAAAAAAGAAUGCACUAGUGAGCUCAGCAACACAAAAACGGCUGGGUGUCCACAGAGGAUAACAGUGGUGGAUGAUAAUAGGAUUCUUUCCAUGGUCAAAAACAAAUAUUCUGCAACUCUAUUCUCAACCCAAUCGAGUGUGCAUUUCAUUUGUUAAAGACAAAACAUAAGGCAGAAAUACCCAUGAACAUAUAACAACUGAAGACAGCUGCAGAAAAGACCUGGAAAAGCAUGUUCCAGACUUCAAGCCUGUAAAAGGAUUCUCAACAAUGUAUUUAAAAUGAACAUUUCAUUUAUGAUUAUGUUAAUUUGUCUAAUGUGUCACUGUCCAAAUAUUUCAGGACCUAACAAUAUUUUGUCACUGAAGAUUUCUUAAAGUGCACUGAUACAUCCCUAAUUACUUUUAACAUUACAUUAACAAUAUACAAACAGUAUACUAUUAAAUGAACAUUAUACUUUAAAACAACCCAAAAGACUGAAGAAGUGCCAGAAUGUCGCACCUGAACAAAACUGCAUCAAAGCUUUGGAGACUAAAUGUUGAACAUUUGUAAGAGAAGUUAAAGAUUACACUGUGGACAUUGGACCUCCAUUACCUCUUUGUUCAACAAGUGAGAGAACAAUUACUACAAUUUAUUGUUUUCAAUUAGUAAUUUUUUUUAUACAAUUUUAAAUUGUGAUCACACCAUUAUGCUGCACAUACCAGUGAGUGCUCUGUUAGCUUUCUUGUGACUUGAUAUACACAGUAUAAGUUUUUUUUUUGUGUGUGUGUGUGUGUGUGUGUGUGUGUGUGUGUGUGUUUUUGUAAUUUGUCAUCUAAUGAUCUAAAUUAUGCUAAACAUGUGAAUAUAGAACAACUGAACAUAAAUAAUCUUAAACAGUAUUAACAGUAGUAACAUCAUGAAAAUGUGUGUGGUAUAUCAACAGAAAGGUGUUGAGAUCUUUGUGAUCGUUAAAAGAUUAGACUGUGUCUGCAAUCAAGGACAAAAUUGCAUUGACAUGUUUAAGUUGUAAAAUAGGAUAAUGUUAUCUUAGUUAUAUUUUAAAUACUGCAAAUAUCUGUAAACCCCAAUAAUCUCUCAAACUACACAUGCAGUAUAGCUUAGUUUCAUCAUGUAAACUUAAAUGAGACUGUGAAAUGUUUUUGUAUGGUGCUGGUUUUGUGUAAAUAUGUAUAAUUUCAUAUGGUUGGGGUCCCACAUAAGUGGUUUUGUCCACCUAGUUUCCUACAGCUGGGAGCUGGCAGCUAGUUGUUUUCAGUGUCGGUUGGUUGGUGUCUGUGUGAAAGCCAAUAAAUGCCACGCUUGUGCUUUGCAUUUUA